CACAACCCCCACACACACUGCAGGGCUGCAUUUGCUGCUCCCCAGGGCAGCCUGGAGCCAGCAGCUUCAAAGGAGCACAUCAAAGCUCCGUGCACAGCACAGAGCAGCCCGGGAAGCAGGGUGGCAUCUCUCCUCUCCCUGGCGAAUGUGGAACCUCAGGGGGCUUCCCAAAGGACACGUAUGUCCCUAUGUCUUGCCUUGAACUUUUCCUGUCUUAUGAGACAGACUGCAGCUGCGCACCCAAAGGCUGUGACAAGGAAUUUCGACACAAGAUUUGUCUCCAGUAAAGAUGUUCAGAACAGGAGGGCUCCUCCAGGAAUUCACUCUACCAACCUCAAGAAAACCUCAAAGAAGCUGGGCAGAGG
rnacentral:lncRNA from 1 species